UACGUAGGGUGCGAGCGUUGUCCGGAUUUAUUGGGCGUAAAGGGCGCGUAGGCGGCUCGGCACGUCCGUUGUGAAAUCGCCCGGCUCAACUGGGCGGGGUCAGCGGAUACGGUCGAGCUUGAGCAAGCUAGGGGGCAAUGGAAUUCCCGGUGUAGUGGUGGAAUGCGUAGAUAUCGGGAGGAACACCAGUGGCGAAGGCGGUUGCCUGGAGCUUUGCUGACGCUGAUGCGCGAAAGCUAGGGGAGCAAACGGG
rnacentral:rRNA from 1 species